rnacentral:lncRNA from 1 species
UUGUUUUAGAGGAAUCUGAGAGUGUUUAGUCCCUGAUCACUACUUUGGAAAAAUAGGAUCAGGUACCAGAAUUAGUAUGUGAUGGGACGCAAGAGGAGCAUGUAACCCAAUCACUAAUGAGAUUACACAGGAUUAUGUCUCUGGACUCUCGAUCAGUCUUCAGCAGACUUGAUAGCAACAGGUUGGUCUGUGAACAUGCCACCGGAUAACCAAAUGAAGAGAAACUAAUCCAACAGGUUAAUUCUUAGCCACUGAAGUUCAACAGGGAUCUGUAUCCAGCUAUUGAAGCAUUCAACCAGGCAUUGUGUCAAGGUAUUUACCUGUUUCAAUGUUUUUAAGAAAAUAAAUAUACCAGAAUAGAUUGCUUUUUCUCUCAAAGCCACAGCGGUUGGCACUCUGGUGGUGAGUCUUAAAUCCAAGCCAAUCAGAAUUUAAAGAAUGAAUAUACAGAACUGCUUGGCCUGUUGUAUUUCACCUACAGUAUAUAUUGCAGGCAAUAGAGCACCAUGUGAAAUCUUCAUAAAAUGGCUAUUUAUGUACUGUGGUCAGCAGUUGUCUGGAGUCUCAAGGGCCUGUUGUGCACAUGGAGGUUUUUCUGGGUCAGCCCAUAUUGUGCUCUAAAAUCUGCACCAUUAACACAGCAUGCAGCUGACACUGACUAUAAAUUACCAUCCAAACUGUCACCAGUUGUCCAGCAUGUCAAGCAUCUGGCAAGGACAGAUUUAAAUGCAGACUCAGUGAAGAAGGUCAAACCAGAAAACUGUGUUCAGCCUGAACGCACAAGUGGCCUGUUCAAGAGACUGCUAAAGGCUGAGGGGGAGAUUCAAGAGCUGAAGAUAGAGAUUGCAAAUCAGAGAGCAUCAUGGGAGAUGCGGUUUGUGGAGCUGCAAAAGAGACAACAUGAUCUAAGAGACCAGGUAUGCGGGUCUAAUAAUAUUUCAGAAAUGAUACUCAUAAAUUCAUUAUAAUGAACCUUUUACACUAUUGCUUCUUUGGCAUCUCUGCUUUGAUCACCUGGCUCUUUUUCUAAAUUCAAAAUGCAUGCUUUUUUUUUUUUAAAUGACUAUAACUGCUUGAUUAUUUGGGAUUUGCAACAGGAACUAGCAAUGCUUAUGGGUUGCAGUACUUAAAAAUGCUUGGUGUAAUGACUAGGUGGCAUCUCUGUGGAUCACUAAAUGCUACUAUCUAUCAUGGCAGAUAAGCUAGAAUGCCAGCUUUCAUAGCAUCAGUUUUGCA